AAGCCUAAGCCUAAGCCACCACAGGGGCCAAGCAGGGCCAAGUCUUUUUCUUCAAGAGGCAAAGAGCCGAGCAGGGGGCCGAGUGGGCCCCAUUUACCAGUAGGCCUCCCCUCCCCCAACCUUCUGGAUGAGUGCUAAGAAGGACACUCACCAGGAUAGAAACUUGGUAGCAGUCAGAGCUCCGCCAAGGCAAAGUCCAACUGUGGACUUCCUCUGCCUCCAACCUCUCUCCCAGCCGGCUCCUGUCUGGCCCUGGGCUUCGGGACAGCCAGGGAUAAGUAAGACUAGCCUUUGUGAGGUCACCCACUUUGUUAGCAAACAUUCCCUUGUUGCUGUGACAACAGAGUCCAAACAGACCCCUGGGCCCAGCCCGGCCAGGCUCACCACCCAAGACACUGUACUUUCUAAAGAGACCAUUGGUUAAGCUGGGAAGAAGUUCUGGAGUCUCUAAGAAUUCCCCGAAGAGGCCCCAGCCAGCCUUUGAAGCUACAGCCAGAACAGGACGCAGCAGCCACAGAUACAGAAACCGAGGCCCGAGCGCACACAGGCUGAACCGGAAACAAGGACCUCUGACUUCCAAA